rnacentral:rRNA from 1 species
GGGAAAUAACACUGGAAUGUGUGUUUCCUGAAAUUUGUGUUAUAGGAUGGGCUGGUGGUGGAUUAGGUUGUUGGUGGGGUAAUGGUUUAUUAAGUUGAUGAUUUGUAUGGGUUAUGAGAGUGGUAGUUUGGAGAGGGAUAUUGAGAUAUUGGUUUUAGUUUUAUGGGGUGUAGUAGGUGUGGAAUUUUUAUAAUGUAUGAAAGUGUGAUGAGGGGAUCCUACGUGCUCAUGUUAUUUAUGGGCUUUUAUCAAAUGUAAUGAGUUUGGUGAAUAAGGGGUGGGUAAGAUUGGUGUUAGUUGUUGUGGUAAUAUUAGUGCCCCGAGUGGCGGUUAUGUUUAUUGGGUUUAAGGUGUUUGUAGUUGGUUAUGUAAAUCCUUUGUGAAAUUGAUGUGUUUAAUGUGUUGGUGUGCAGGGGAUAUUGUUUGAUUUGGAAUUGGGAGGAGUUAGAGGUAUGUUGUGGGGAUUGGUAAAAUGGGAUAAUUUAUGAUGGAUUGAUGAUGGUGAAGGUAUUUAAUUAGAAUGGAUUUGAUGGUGAGGAAUGAAAGUUAGGGGAGUGAAUUGGAUUAGAUAUUUGAGUAGUUUUGGCCGUAAAUGUUGUGUGUUAGGUGUUGCCCCUUUUAUGAGGAGGGGUAGUGUUGAAAUGAAGAUGUUAAGUACAUUGUUUGGGAAGUAUGGUUGUAAGAUUGAAAUUUUAAGGAAUUGGCGGGGGAGCACCACAAGGGGUGGAGCGUGCGGUUUAAUUUAAUUCAAUGUAGAGAAUUUUAUUAGAAGUGAUGGUAGGAUGAAGUUUAGGUUGAAGAUUUUGAUUGAUGAGUUGAGAGGUAGUGUAUGGCCGCUGUCAGCUCGUGUUGUAAGGUGUUUAGUUAAGUUUGGUAAUGAGCGAGACCUGCACUCUCAGUUGCUAAUAGUGUAUGUGGAUUGAGUAUACUGAGAGGACUGCCUUCGUAAGAAGGAGGAAGGUGCAGGCGACUGUAGGUCUGUAUGCUUUGAAUUUUUUAGGCUACACGCGCGCAACAAUGGUACGGACAAUGGGUUGCAAUACCGAGAGGUGAAGUUAAUUUUUGAAACCGUAUCUUAGUCCUGAUUGAGGCUUGCAACUCAGCCUCAUGAGGCCGGAAUCCCUAGUAAUUUGGGUUUAUUAUAUUCGGGUGAAUAUGUCCCUGCUCCUUGCACACACCGCCCGUCAAACCAACCGAGCAGGGUUUCGGUAAAAUCACGCUUUUUAGUGUGAUUGAAUCGGAGCUCAGUGAGGUGGGUUAAGUCGUUAUAAGGUC